UGGGGAAUAUUGGACAAUGGGGGAAACCCUGAUCCAGCGACGUCGCGUGGGUGAUGAAGGUCUUAGGAUUGUAAAACCCUUUUAUAGAAGAAGAUAAUGACUGUAUUUUAUGAAUAAGCCCCGGCUAACUUCGUGCCAGCAGCCGCGGUAAUACGAAGGGGGCAAGCGUUAUUCGGAAUGACUGGGCGUAAAAGGCGUGUAGGUGGAUUUGUACGUUUGAUGUGAAAGUCCUGGGCUUAACCUAGGGAUUGCAUUGAAUACGGCAAGUCUAGAGCGUGAGAGGGGAAAACGGAAUUGCGGGUGUAGAGGUGAAAUUCGUAGAUAUCCGCAGGAACACCAAUGGCGAAGGCAGUUUUCUKGCUCAUGGCUGACACUGAGGCGCGAAAGCGUGGGGAGCAAACAGGAUUAGAUACCCUGGUAGUCCACGCCUUAAACGAUGGAUGCUCGAUGUCGGAACUUAGGUUUCGGUGUCUUAGCUAACGCGUUAAGCAUCCCGCCUGGGGAGUACGGCCGCAAGGUUA
rnacentral:rRNA from 1 species